rnacentral:rRNA from 1 species
AUUGAACGCUGGCGGCAGGCCUAACACAUGCAAGUCGAGCGGACAAACGAAGCUUUCUCCUGGCUUAAGCGGCGGACGGGCGAGUGAUGCCUAGGAAUCUGCCCUGUCGUUGGGACUAACGUACCUAAAGGGGCGCUAAUACCGCAUCCGACAUUAUGUUGAACGGGGGGGAUCUUUGGACCUCGAGCUUUUUGCUGUGCCUAGGCCGGAUUAGCUAGUUGGUGGGGUAAGGGCCUACCAAGGCGACGAACCGUAGCUGGGCUGAGAGGCUGAUCUGCCACACUGGAACUGAGACACGGUCCAGACUCCUACGGGAGGCAGCAGUGGGGAAUCUUGGACAAUGGGCGAAAGCCUGACCGAGCCAUGCCGCGUGUGUGAAGAAGGUCUUCGGAUUGUAAAACACUUUAAGUUGGGAAGAAGAAAUGUAAAUGUAUCCCUGCAUGUCUUGACGGUACCAACAGAGUAAGCACCGGCUAACUACGUG